rnacentral:rRNA from 1 species
UACGGAGGGUGCGAGCGUUGUCCGGAAUCACUGGGCGUAAAGGGCGCGUAGGCGGCUCAUGAAGGCUGUGGUGAAAGUCCGGGGCUCAACCUCGGAUCGGCCGUGGCGACUCGUGGGCUGGAGCACUGUAGAGGCGGGUGGAAUUCCGGGUGUAGCGGUGGAAUGCGUAGAGAUCCGGAAGAACACCAGUGGCGAAGGCGGCCCGCUGGGGCAGUGGCUGACGCUGAAGCGCGACAGCGUGGGGGAGCAAACAGG